rnacentral:misc_RNA from 1 species
AAAAAAAAAAACAAAGCAGUGAAGUGCAAGACAAGCCCAUUGCCCCUGCAUGGGAAGAUGCUUGGCUUUGGAUGUCUUACCUUAGGCUUGGUGUGCCUCAACCCAAUGUGGACUAGUGAGUAGUGACAUAUCUGGACUGGGUCAAUCCUGGCCGUCCCUAAACUUUGUCAGUUCUGUGGCUGCCAAGCAGGGGCACUGCCUAACCUGUGUAGACCUUGUGGCUGAUCAGCUGCUGACAAGCAAGGUCCCACCCUAACCUAUAAUUGGAAUAGUGGCUGGCUAGCCACUGGCUACAAAGAAGCACACUUAUGCUAGAUGCCUAGUGGCUGGCCAAUUUAUGGUGUGCAAGGCCUGAGCUGACCUCUGUUGGCCUUGUAGUAGAAGGCAAGCAGGGGCAUGCCAAGUCAAUGUGGGAGGGCGUGGCUGCCUGCACCUGAUGGGGCUGCAAGCACCAAGGUGCAGCAUGUGAUAGAUGGGGAGUGCCAGCCAGCCAGGGGAGGGCAGUGUGUGCUGGUGGGGAUGCAGCAGCCAGUUGAGUGGCUGGCAACAGCAGCAGCAUGGUGGGCUUAAGAUGCUGGAGUGUUGGUUGUAAAAGUGGUAUCAGGUUUGUUCUGGAAUUCAUAGCUUCAUGUCUUAGGACUUCUAGUUCGAUACAACUUUCUCACCUGCUGGAAGGCGGCCCAGCCCCCUAACAAGUCAAAACAUUUUGUUCCCUCGUAAAAUUCUUUUAGCCUUAACCUCCUAAUGUGUUCCAAUGUCCCACAAAUGUGACUCUAGUCAAAUGUCCUGUCAUUGCUUUGUCUUCCAAUGUUUUACAGCCUUUUCCUUGGAGCUUAUGUAGAGGGGGGAGAGAAAGAAACAUUGAGAACAAUAUUUUGAGAUGCUUAAAUAUGAUAUCAAGCCUAUACUGUACAGUCUAAAGUUUUGCACUUGGUUUGUUAGAACUAAGUGGUUGUUUAGUUUUUAUUGGUUUGGUAAUAAGACUUUUCUUUCUUUUAUUGAUGACAUUUUGACGCAAAUGUGACUGCACUCAGCCACUCACAUUGAUAGCACCCUUGGUUUCCUGUCUAAUUGCAUUUCUACAAUAUAUAUAGCCGCAUGUAUAAAUGUGUGAAACACAAAAUAUAUAUGAUGAUGAUCUCAAGAGAUUGUAUAUAUUAAUUUUAUUACUAAAUUUUAGGUUAUAGCAGAGAGGCUUUCAGAA